GAUGAACGCUAGCUACAGGCUUAACACAUGCAAGUCGAGGGGCAGCGGUAUCGAAAGCUUGCUUUCGGUAGCCGGCGACCGGCGCACGGGUGAGUAACGCGUAUCGAACCUGCCUCAUACUCGGGAAUAGCCUUGCGAAAGUAAGAUUAAUGCCCGGUGUUUUCAGAGUCCCGCAUGAGGCUUUGAACAAAGAUUUAUCGGUAUGAGAUGGCGAUGCGUCCCAUUAGCUUGUUGGCGGGGUAACGGCCCACCAAGGCAUCGAUGGGUAGGGGUUCUGAGAGGAAGGUCCCCCACAUUGGAACUGAGACACGGUCCAAACUCCUACGGGAGGCAGCAGUGAGGAAUAUUGGUCAAUGGGCGGAAGCCUGAACCAGCCAAGUAGCGUGCAGGAAGACGGCCCUCCGGGUUGUAAACUGCUUUUAGUUGGGAAUAAAACGGGGCUCGUGAGCCUCCUUGCAUGUACCAUCAGAAAAAGGACCGGCUAAUUCCGUG
rnacentral:rRNA from 1 species